rnacentral:rRNA from 1 species
GGGGGCUAGCGUUGUUCGGAAUUACUGGGCGUAAAGGGCGCGUAGGCGGUCCUGAGCGUCGGAUGUGAAAGGCCUGGGCUCAACCUGGGAACUGCAUCCGAUACGGCGGGACUGGAGUGUGGGAGAGGUUGGUGGAAUUCCCAGUGUAGAGGUGAAAUUCGUAGAUAUUGGGAAGAACACCGGUGGCGAAGGCGGCCAACUGGACCACAACUGACGCUGAGGCGCGAAAGCGUGGGGAGCAAACAGG